rnacentral:rRNA from 1 species
AGAGUUUGAUCCUGGCUCAGAAUCAACGCUGGCGGCGUGCCUAACACAUGCAAGUCGAACGAGAAAGUGGAGCAAUCCAUGAGUAAAGUGGCGAACGGGUGAGUAACACGUGACUAACCUACCCUUGAGUGGGGGAUAACCCCGGGAAACCGGGGCUAAUACCGCAUAAUCUCGCAAGAGCAAAUGCGCAAGCAGCUUAA